CCUACGGGUGGCUGCAGUGAGGAAUAUUGGUCAAUGGGCGCGAGCCUGAACCAGCCACGUAGCGUGAAGGAUGACUGCCCUACGGGUUGUAAACUUCUUUUAUAAAGGAAUAAAGUGAGGCACGUGUGCCUUUUUGUAUGUACUUUAUGAAUAAGGAUCGGCUAACUCCGUGCCAGCAGCCGCGGUAAUACGGAGGGUCCGAGCGUUAUCCGGGAUUAUUGGGUUUAAAGGGUGCGUAGGUGGGUUAGUAAGUCAGAUGUGAAAGUUUAUGGCUUAACCGUAAAAUUGCAAUUGAUACUGGCAGUCUAGAGUAUGGUAGAGGUAGGCGGAAUUCGUGGUGUAGCGGUGAAAUGCGUAGAGAUCACGAAGAACUCCGAUUGCGAAGGCAGCUUACUAGACUGCCACUGACAUUGAUGCUCGAAAGUGUGGGGAUCAAACAGGAUUAGAUACCCUAGUAGUC
rnacentral:rRNA from 1 species